CAGAUGACGAGAGAGGCUGAAGUGACAAGAGGACAUUGCCUAUCAUUAGGUUGACGGGUGGUUAUUGGAGUGGUGGUUGGCAUGAAGAUUAGGCUGCUGGGGGCUCCCUGAAGCUGGAACUGACAGGCCAAGUACAUCCAUGGCAACAGCCAAGACCAAGACUGCAGAUGGUCUCCUUGAUAUCCAGGAAGUCUUCCUGUAGCUUCCGGUUUUGACCGUCGAGAGGAACUGGACAACUGUGUUGAAACUCCACUGGCGUUGGGACAGGAUUCCUCUGUCUGAUGCAGCUGAAAAUGUUCUCCAGGCAAUCCUUGGACAACCUACUGGGCAAUUACGACAUGGCGGGAGGACAUAAGGUCGAACCAGUGGUCUACUUUCUCAAGGAACCGUGAGGUUUUCAGGGAGGACUGUGGCCGUUUCUCCUCUUCAACCAGGUUUUUCUGGACAGCACUGGUCACUCUACUAAAGACUUGCAUGGCAGGUUGGACACUGAAAUGGGAGUGGGUUGGCAGUCAUGAAGGAU